rnacentral:lncRNA from 1 species
UAAAAAUCAAAACAUCUUUUGGCAAAAUAGAUCUGACCAAAAUAAAUCUAACCAUCUUCUUUAUCUAGGUUCCUUUUAUUCUUCAUCAAAAUAGAUCUAACCAAAACAGAUCUUUAUCAAAACAAAAGAAAUAGAUGUGCACCUCCUCAUAUCAUCAUCAUCAUAAUCUCGCCUAAACACAAACACUCUCCGUCUCAUCUUCUUCAUCAAAACUAAAGAAGUAGAUCUGCUUAGUUUUGCCAAAAAAGUCUCCUUCAAAUCUUUAGGUAGUCACCUCUUAUCGUCUCUCCCCCACAUGCCAAAUACAUACACAACAGAGUCAUCUCCUUUUUGAACUUUUGAUUUUGCUCCACGUCUUCAGAUUCACACAUGACACAACACGAAGAAAAUAACAAUCAAUCACCAAGUUAUUUGGAUUCUCUCUUUUCUUCUUUCAAAGCCGCUUGCUUUCUCUCUCCCCAACAAUUACAUUCCAAUCUUCACAUAUUUGAGAUGGGUUACUACUCUACAAUUCAAAAAUUUUUUGUCUCUCGAUUUUUGUUUAACUAUUUUAGCAGUUAAAAUCAUUCCCAUAAUUUUUAAUUGGGUCUUUUUUUAAAAAAAUUUAUAAAUUGAGUUGUGGGUUUUGAACUUUAUUUAAAAAACUUGAAUUAUACUUAUUUUUCCUUUGAUUUGUGACCCAUCUCAAAUCCCCUAUUUGUAGAACCCCGAGAGAGCGGGCGACGUGCUUUUUUGGCUUUUUGGUUGUUAAUUUUCUUAGUUGAAUCAAUGGCUGCUAAAUCAAAGAAACGUCAUGGAUGAAUCUCAGAAGAUGACCCAUAUGGAUUGGGUUAGAGAUCAGGCAAGGACGGCUUGGAGAAAGAUUUUGAUUAUGUUUCUCCCUUCAAUUUUUUUUUUAAGAUUUAGAUUGUAUUUUUGUAAAUUGUAUUCUUGAUUAUAUGGGAUUGUACAUUUGUUCUGUAGUUUGUAAACAAUGUCAAUUAAUUUUUUUUCUUUUAUUUUUAACA